GGGCCCUGACUGUAGGUGGGGCCACCUCACACCACCCCAGGCAGCCCAGCUCCUGCCCACCUUUUGCCUCUGGAUCCCAGCAGCCAUCUGGUCAUUCUCCCUCUCCAGAGCCUGCAUCCUGCUCCUGUGGCUGACUGGGGAGGGGCCAGCUGCAUCCCCAUCUAGGGGCCCUGCUCCCCCAUCCUCUCAUGCCUGCAGAAACCUUCACCCUGGCUCUUGGGUUUGGGCAGGUCCAGCCUGCAGAGGGGAGCGGAUCUCCUCCUGGGCCCUGGCCUGCCCUCCCUGGCUGGCAUGUGGACUAGGGGCCUGGGGGCUCACUGGAUGGUGCCCGCCCAGACUCACGGCAGCUCCUCCUGCGUGCACUCUGGCCUGUGCAGCUGUGUAAGGGUCCUGCGGUUACAUGAUGGGAAAAGCAAGAGGGAGCAUCUGGGGCCCUGAAGUCCCAAGUCACACCCAAACCAAACCACCCAGCCAGGAAGAUAGCAGGAAGCAAAUUGGAGGCGUUCUGGGUUGAACUGUAUCCCCAGCAACAACAACAAAAAGAUAUAUUGACAUCCCCAGUACCUCCUAAUGAGACAGAAUCAUUACAGAGGUAAUCAGACUAAAAUGAAGUCAAUAGGCUGGGCUUUCAUCCAAGGUGACUAUACAAAGGGGAAAUGUGGACACGGGCACACACAGAGGGAGACACCACGCGGACAUCCUGGAGGAAUGUCAAAGCCUGCUGGCAAAGCACCAGAAGCUGGGGACAAGGCCUAGAACAGACCCUCCCUCACAGGCCUCAGGAGGAACCAACCCUGCCGACACCCUGACCUGAACUUCAGCCUUCAGAACCAAGAGACAAUGAAUGCCUGCCAUUGAAGCUACCGUCUUCAGCACUUUGUUAUCACAGCCCUAGCAAACUCACAGAGGACCCUAUCCAGCUGCUGCCCCAUC
rnacentral:lncRNA from 10 species